rnacentral:misc_RNA from 1 species
UUUGUUUCUUUCAGGAGUCAGCAGGAUGCCCAAAGUGCAAUAAAUGAUUUGAAUGGAAAAUGGCUUGGAAGCAGACAAAUUCGGUGUAACUGGGCGACAAAAGGUACUAGUUCUAAUGAUGACAAGCCGAGUUCUGAUGUCAAGAGUGUUGUAGAGCUAACCAGUGGAACAUCAGAAGAAAGUCAAGAAAAGAAUGAUGAUGCGCCAGAGUACAAUCUUCAGUACACCACCGUUUAUGUUGGCAAUCUUGCUUCUGAGGUUACUUCUGUGGAUCUUCAUAGGCAGUUCCAUGCACUUGGUGCAGGAACUAUUGAAGAUGUGCGUGUGCAGCGGGAUAAAGGUUUUGGUUUUGUGAGAUACAGUACACAUGCUGAAGCAGCUCUUGCUAUUCAGAUGGGAAAUGCUCGUAUUCUUUAUGGCAAACCUAUUAAGUGCUCUUGGGGUAGCAAACCCACUCCACCAGGAAUAAGCUCUACCCCUCUUCCGCCACCAGCUGUUGCACAUAUGCCAGGUCUUUCAGCUGCUGACCUUGCAGCUUAUGAACGGCAGAUGGCAUUGAGCAAAAUGGCUGGUGCACAAGCCCUUAUGCAUCCACAAGGUCAGCAUGCCCUUAAGCAGGCAGUCAUGGGAAUGGGUGCUGUUGGAACUAGUCAGGCAAUAUAUGAUGGCGUGUUCCAAAAUGUUGCGACAACCCAGCAGCUUAUGUACUUCCACUAAUACUGUGUUAUGAAAAUCUCCCUUGAACCAUGAUUGGGAGGAAUUAGUAUUCGAAAAUUUGUAGGAUGAUGUUUUAUGGUUGUAAUCCUGUUAAAGUUUAUGUCCUGUAUUAUGUUACAUAUGCGCCUGCGUGUAUGCUGAA